rnacentral:rRNA from 1 species
AUUGAACGCUGGCGGCAUGCUUUACACAUGCAAGUCGAACGGUAACAGGGUGCUUGCACCGCUGACGAGUGGCGAACGGGUGAGUAAUGCGUCGGAACGCACCGAGUAAUGGGGGAUAACGCAGCGAAAGCUGUGCUAAUACCGCAUACGCUCUGAGGAGGAAAGCGGGGGACCUUCGGGCCUCGCGUUAUUCGAGCGGCCGACGUCUGAUUAGCUAGUAGGUGAGGUAAGAGCUCACCUAGGCGACGAUCAGUAGCGGGUCUGAGAGGAUGAUCCGCCACACUGGGACUGAGACACGGCCCAGACUCCUGCGGGAGGCAGCAGUGGGGAAUUUUGGACAAUGGGCGCAAGCCUGAUCCAGCCAUGCCGCGUGUCUGAAGAAGGCCUUCGAGUUGUAAAGGACUUUUGUCAGGGAGGAAAUCCUUAGCGCUAAUACCGUUGAGGGAUGACAGUACCUGAAGAAUAAGCACCGGCUAACUACGUGCCAGCCGCCGCGGUAA